GACGAACGCUGUCGGCGUGCUUAACACAUGCAAGUCGUACGGUAAGGCCCUUUCGGGGGUACACGAGUGGCGAACGGGUGAGUAACACGUGAGUAACCUGCCCACAACUUUGGGAUAACGCUAGGAAACUGGUGCUAAUACUGGAUAUGUGCUCCUGCUGCAUGGUGGGGGUUGGAAAGCUCCGGCGGUUGUGGAUGGACUCGCGGCCUAUCAGCUUGUUGGUGGGGUAGUGGCCUACCAAGGCGGCGACGGGUAGCCGGCCUGAGAGGGUGACCGGCCACAGUGGGACUGAGAUACGGCCCAGACUCCUACGGGAGGCAGCAGUGGGGAAUAUUGCACAAUGGGCGCAAGCCUGAUGCAGCAACGCCGCGUGCGGGAUGACGGCCUUCGGGUUGUAAACCGCUUUCAGCAGGGACGAAGCUUUUUGUGACGGUACCUGCAGAAGAAGCACCGGCUAACUACGUG
rnacentral:rRNA from 1 species